rnacentral:rRNA from 1 species
UACGGAAGGCAGCAGUGGGGAAUAUUGCACAAUGGGCGAAAGCCUGAUGCAGCUAUGCCGCGUGUAUGAAGAAGGCCUUAGGGUUGUAAAGUACUUUCAUCGGGGAGGAAAAAACAAAACUAAUAAUUUUAUUUCUUGACGUUACCCGAAAAAGAAGCACCGGCUAACUCCGUGCCAGCAGCCGCGGUAAUACGGAGGGUGCUAGCGUUAAUCAGAAUUACUGGGCGUAAAGAGCACGUAGGUGGUUUUUUAAAGUUCAGAUGUGAAAUCCCUGGGCUUAACCUGGAACUGCAUUUUGAAACUGAAAUACUAGAGUAUCGUAGAGGGAGGUAGAAUUCUAGGUGUAGCGGUGAAAUGCGUAGAUAUCUGGAGGAUACCUGUGGCGAAAGCGGCCUCUAAACGAAUACUGACACUGAGGUGCGAAAGCGUGGGGAGCAAACAGGGAUUAGAUACC